AAUAUAGCAAUGGAAAAGAUUAGUAACUUUAAUACUUCUGUAGAGAGAUAUUGGUUGGUGAAAAAUAUUGAAAGGAUUAAAGCGAAUGUUACUUUUCUGCUUUGUAGAGGACAAGUCUACAACGGGUAACCGUUAAAUUAUUGAGCCGAAUUUUCGGAAAUUAAGGUGGUACCACGUCCUUCGUCCUUAUA
rnacentral:ncRNA from 1 species